rnacentral:lncRNA from 1 species
AGCUUCCUGUGUGCAAGCCUGCAGGUGCGCCAGUGCUCAGCAGAGGGCACUGAAUGCUGCGGCACUCGGGUUAACAGAUGGUAGUGAGCUGUCUGAACUACUUAAAAUUUUCAGGUAAAAGGGCAGCAAGCAUUCUUAAACUGCUGAGCGGCCCUCUAGGUGUUCUUUGCUGGGGCAGGGGAGUUAGCAGGGAGGAAGUGGAGAGAACUGGGAGAGUUGAGACCCUCCUUCUGAGCGUUAAGCUGCAUGUAGAUAAUAUCUGCAGGUGUGGCACAAUUGAAAAGGCAGUGGCUUUCAGGCUAGUCACUGCACGGACUAGUAAGGCAGCUCUCUUGCUCCCAGCACCGUGCAUCUGAUUCUCCGUUCUCAGGAUCACUCAGAAGAGGAUCAGCUGCUGAUCAUACGUCUGACUCAGCUAUAUCUCAUUGCUAUGGCUCUUGGCCACAAGAUAUCUGACUCUGUGUCACCAGCCUAACAGAAGAUCACAUUGUGCUGCCAAAGCACAGAACACACCCAGCUUCUUGGAUUUCAUCUGUCUUGCAUUUCCUUAUGUAUCAGUUACAGGAAAAGCAGCAACUGAAAUACAGCUCUCAAAUGCUCUGGAUGAGAUUCCCUCUUCCUAGAUGUCUCUAUCUCAUGUCAAGUUGACAAAGAACUAACCAG